rnacentral:rRNA from 1 species
GAUGAACGCUGGCGGCGUGCCUAAUACAUGCAAGUCGAGCGAACGGACGAGAAGCUUGCUUCUCUGAUGUUAGCGGCGGACGGGUGAGUAACACGUGGAUCACCUACCUAUAAGACUGGGAUCACUUCGGGAAACCGGCGCUAAUACCUGAUGAUAUUUUGAACCGCAUGGUUCAAAAGUGAAAGACGGUCUUGCUGUCACUUAUAGAUGGAUCCGCGCUGCAUUAGCUAGUUGGUAAGGUAACGGCUUACCAAGGCAACGAUGCAUAGCCGACCGGAGAGGGGGAUAGGCGACACGAGAACUGAGACGGGGUCCAGAGUCCUACGGGAGGCAGCAGAAGGGAAUCUUCAGCAAUGGGCGAAAGCCUGACGGAGCAACGCCGCGUGAGUGAUGAAGAUCUUCGGAUCGUAAAACUCUGUUAUGAGGGAAGAACAGAUGUGUAAGUAACUGUGCACAGCGUGACGGUACCUAAUCAGAAAGCCACGGCUAACUACGUG